CCGCCCACUUCUCUCGUUGUGGGGACGGGGGCCGGCCGCGCUGUCGCGUUCCUUUGCAGUUCCAAGGAAAUUAACCCGUAUGGCGCUGCGAAAGGGAUUUUUUGGCUGUAAUUCCAUUGUUGGGAUGCCGGAGCUUUCUAAAGCUGCUGAGAUGCCGGAGCUUUCUAAAGCAGCUGAUGGUGGAGGCGUUGUUCAGUGACAGACGAAGUUACAGGUUCGGCACUGUGAAAACUGCACGUACUUACGGAGCUUCUGAGGCAGGGGAAAAGAGCAGUGGAUGCUGGUUUGAAUUCCACAGUCACUGGAUCUAAUGGAAAACAUGGAAAACACUGAAAUACAUCUUCAGCAUCUUCAGAAGAGGUGGGCUUAAAGGGAUCACUGAGGGGACAACACGAGUGGAAAAGGUAAUAAUAAAGGUAAUUCCUCCCUAGGGGAGGGAAUAAAAUCUGGAUUUUGUGGGAAAUAGCACAUUGGACUGUCAUUGGACACAGUGAGAUACUGAGAUGCAUAGAAAAUUUGAAAAAAUCAUGUAGAAAAAAAUCAAGAAAACGCAGAAGGGAAACCUUACCUUGUAUUCAUAAUUUUCCACCAUCUUCUGCUGUAGUAAUUAGGGCAAGGUCUCAAUUUAAACUACUAGAAAAAAAAAUUAGCCUCAAAUAUAGAAGAGUGUGUUAUAAUAUUAAUAAUUUGUAUGUUUCAAACAUGUUUUUCUUUGCCUCUCUCAUUCUCCAUAGAUGAGAAUGACUUCAGUGAUUUUGGAGCAGUUGUCUUCAGCCUUUGUGGUUUGCAUGGGGUUAGUAAAUGCCAGUGAUCCUAGACCUAGUCCUUUUUUACCAAAACGAGAAUUUAAUUAAUCUAUAUUAAUUAUUUCUAAUAAUGUAUUGCUUUUCAUAAACAGUACUCGUGAUCAUCAUUAUGAAGCAGUUGUGUUACAUAUUUAGUGCUGGAAAAACAGCUGCAAUCUACUCCUUGAGAUCAGUGAAGGAACAAAAAUAGAGUAAGAAAUGCAGCACUUUUCAGGUAGUGGGGUAUUCAAACAUCUUUAGCGUCCUGGAUACCUCAGUUCUGUGUUUUUACUCCCCAAAACAUCAUCAUUAAGAUGAUUCCACAUCAGAGACACACAGUUUUCUUUGGUUAAUGCAGAUUUGAUUUCCUUUCAAGUUAGAGCACCCGCAUGAGUGUUUUUCUCCAUUUGUUCUCUGUGUUAUUAGCAGCAUUGUCUGAAGCAUCUACCCAGUGGCAGUUAAUAAAACCUCCAUUUUGGAGCCUGGUUUUGCCCAUUAAAGCUUCAUUCUGCUUAAGAAAAGAUUUAAAGCUCAACACAGCCAUAUUUUAUUCUGUUGUUACAAUCAGAAGCUCUUAAGCUUUUAAAUGGGUCAACCACCAGUAUGACUUAGUCACAUGUUCUUUAAGUUAGUCAAAUGCUUAAUUAGCAUGCUGGAUGUUUGCAUGUAAAAAUAUAGAUGUUUGAUCCAAGAGAUACCUUGAUACAAUAGGUGUCAUUUCAUGGGUUCCAAUUCCACAGAAAGAAGGGAAUCCUAAACAAACUGAGCUUGAAUUUGCAGGAAAUGAAAGGCAAUUAAAAAUGUUGUUUGCCCAGCAGGACUGGAGAAUCGGGCUCUUAUUGCCAGGAAAAAUCAGAUACAUGCCUUUGAAAAUUUUGGAGAUACGUGUGUAUCUAAAUGCAUCAGUUGGCUCUAGGCUGACACAUGGAGACUAUUGAUAAAAUUCAUUAACACUGGUGAUGAUGGAUUUCAGCAUGGCUCAUACCUCAAAUUUCAGUUAGUUUUGGUACGGAAACAAUGUUAAAAUUUGCUCUUUAUAGCGGUCAUUUCUGAAUUUCCUUGUGAAUAUGGUGCUGACUGGAAAAUAAAAUAUCAUCAUAGGCAGCUUACAGGGAAAAAACAACAAACACAGCAGCCAGUGGAAUGGCAACAAACCAGAUGGAUUUGUGGUAACCACAGCAAAUAUGGAUGCUGGGAAACAAGGAAAGGCAAACGAACAGAUUUGUGAGGUGCUAAGAGAGGAAAUGUCCCUGUCUUUGAAACCAAUAGGCAAGGAGGUAGAAAUUCUCCACACUUGAUCUACUCCCCAAGGCACAACUGAAGAGAUUUGAGUCAGGCAGCCAAUGGUGUUUGGGUGUCCUGAGAAAGGCUGUGUGGAUCCCUCUCUGUUUCAGUGAGUUGGGAAAGAUGGGAUGCCCUGCAAGCAGAGGGGCAUCCACGGCCCUCACCGUGCACGCCACAACAGCGGCAGGCACACAUGGUGUUUGUGUUCCAGAGCAUCAGCAAGCACUCCACCACAUGUGUAAUAAUCCACUCUGCUGACUGGAUGGCUCAGGUUCCCAGGGAAUGGUUCCCAGGGUAUUGCUGCAAAUUCCCAGUGUAGAGACAGCCUGCAAGAUCCCACUAAAAUAGCAUUUUCUAGGCGUUCAUAAUCCAAAUGUAGUUUAAUAUGUUUUCUCUUUCACUUUUUUUUGUCCUCAAAAUACACACACACUUUAAAAUAUUUAAAUUGAUUCAUUUCCAGUGUCUCUAGCUGAUCAAUAGAUGCUAAACAUAACUGACUUUUUAAAGAUAAUGAUUGUGAAAUAAAGGAGUUUUUAAAAUCUGCUUUAUUGCAGAAGAUGGAUGUAGCUGUCUCUUGAGGAGCCUUGUUUAAGAGCAAUAACAGCCAUUGAGGUUUGUCCCUUGAGAUGGUGGCAAAUAGAACCCAGGGAAUAAUUAAUCCUCGGGCACCAGCACACUAAUUACUAUUGCUGGAAUUGAUAGGAGUUUCAGUACCUUUGAAAUCUGUUUGUAUUUUGAUGUGAAUAUUUUAACCUUUUUUUUUUCCACUCGAAGUAGCCGCCAUUCUCAGUCUAUUUUCCAUCAUAAUGGGAGACAUCUAAGGAUGGGAGAGUGGCAAAAAGCAAACCACCUGCUUAACCAUCUUCAUUCUGACAACAUGAAAGGCUACAAAAAACCCUGGGGUUAGUAGCAUAUUACAUAAAUAUAAAAUAACUCUUCCAGCCUGGACUAAUUGAUCCAGACCAGUGCCUGCCAUCUGGCCAGCAGUUUGCUGGUGCCCUUUGCCCCAGCUGUCAGCUUGUGAGUUGUUGUUGCCUAAAAGCAAUUUUUCACACUGCCUGGUUCUAUAUCAUUAUGGGUUGCAAAGAUGGCCAUUGUUUUGUUUAACAUGUACACACUUGCCAGGGACCUGCUUCUCAAUUAAAGUCCUGAACAAGCCCUUGGCUGUUGUGACCACAGGUAGGUGUGUGGAAAACAAACAGCAGAAUUUUUUUCUGCUCUUUAAGCCAAAGUUCUCUUCUGUACAUUUGACCUCAUUUUUCUGUUCACAGAAAAUUCAUUGCCUCAAAAAGGUAAGUUGGAAUUAUGGAAGCUUGAAAUAUACUUUAAAAAAGGCAGAAUAAUUCCAUAACUACAAAGUCUUUACGGCAUUUAGUUAGACAUUGACUUCAGCUUUAGACAUCCUAAAGAUUGCCAGCUUUUUAUCUGUUUAAGAGCUGUGUUUCUAAAAUGUUAAUCUUCUUUACAGAAGUUGCUAAAAUAAUUCUUUUGACCUAUCAUGGAAAACGUAACAAAUUAUUAGUGUGUUUUGGUUUUUUUCCCCCUGGAGAGCGACACGAAGCUACCAGGUUAAUUGACAUGUUUCUUUCCAGCUCCUAAUUGCUGCCUGCACCCUGGCUGCACAUUUAUAAGAUAUUUACGAGAGGUUUGCAAGCCCUUUGCACUGCCAAGAAACCUAUGAUGUAGGGAUAAAAAUGAGAUACAGAUCACAACUUCCAAACCACCAAACUUAUAAACACACUAAACCCUCCUGCACAGAUCUACGGGGAUCUAUCAGCAUUCCUACCCAGCUUUGGUUAUGUGCAUUUCCUAUUUUCCUUGGAUUGAGGGCAGUGGUUGAACAGUACAAUUGGGUCUUGACCUAUAGGGGGGACUUCCAAACAAUUUGAAGAGGAAUACACAUUUUUGCACUUCAUUUUUUCAAUAUUUCUAGUCUAAAAAUGUUGGAUAAAUUUUUACAGCCACAAGAAAGAGUGCUACAUCAUAUUAGGCAUGGAAAUUAGGCCUAGUUUUGACCACCAACUACUUUUGAUUCCCCCAGAGUGAAAACAACUCUUUUUCAGUAGUCGUCUGGUUAUCAUAUUAUUGGAGAAAGUUCUUUUUUUUUUACCUUUUCUUUUGCUGUUCGUAUGGUAAGGAAGUUCUUUACUUGUUUUCACAGUGUGCUAAUCCCUCUUCCUUUUGGUGUUUUUAUCCAUACACAUUCCUGAAACUGAAAAUAGUUUUCAAGAUACGGAAGGCUGAGAUAUCUUGAUUUUCUGCCUGCAUGACAGAUUCCUGAGGCUUUUCACUGUCUUCUUCCACCACGAUGGUUUCCUCCUUUUCCUCUCCACCACUCACAGGGAUUGCAACCAGUAUUUCCUAUCCCACUGUACUUGACAAUUAACUGUAAGUAUUCCCCUGUGGCCUGGAGGCAGACCUGGGUCUAUCCCCCUCUAUUUUGCUAUAUUUGAACGGGGAGGUUUUGCUGUGAUCCGUAAUGACUUAUCCUACAAUAUCCGCCCUCCAUUCUUCAUUUCAUUUAAUCCUUUUGCCACCUUCUGAUACAUUUCUGACUCACUGUUUUAUUGAGUGCUGAUGGCUCCUGGCACCAGCCCCCUUUUACUGAAUCAUCCAGACUGUUCCUAUAUAUUUUGGGGAUCGGUUACUGGCUGUGCAAUGCACAGAACACUACAGAGCACUCUGACACUUCCACCACAGGUGAGGUGUCCCGGGAAUGCCUUCCCAAUGACACAGGCAGGGGGGACAAAAAGGGAGUGGGUCAUUAUCUCCCCAUUGCUUCCAGCAUGUGUUUCAUCCUGAGUGGCAAUAACAAAUUGGCCUGUGUCAGCUGCCUCCUUGUUGGAAAAAUAUUCCUGGGAUAUGUGAUAACAAGCAGCCCUGUGUCAUAACUGGAAUUAGGGAUCCAAGGAGGUGGAUGGCGUUAUGUUUAUCCAGGCUGCACGUUGACGAGGUGGUUCCUGAGCCAACAGUGCUAAUUAACAAUGUGUGCCUGUACUGAGCUGACAAUUAGAUUUGAAACCAUAGGAUGGGAUAGUUUCCCUAAUGUUUUUUUUCCCAGGGUUUUACUUUUUGAGGUUGGAAGUCUGCCUGCUCUUCUGCUGCAGGAAAACCAUGGCGGGAUACACAUUCUGCAUCUUCACAAGAUGGGUGAGAUGGCAAAAGAUUGUUCACUCACAUAAAAACUGGGAAGGAGCAUGCUGGAAAAGUGUGACCAGUGCAUUAUCGAAGGUACCUUCUGACCAACAUGUUCACUCAGAAAGUUUCCCUGAAUUACUACACUCAUUUGGCAAUAAAUGUCCAGCUACAAAUUCCUGCUCCCAACAUACGGAGAUUAAAUCUUCUCACUGAAAAAGGUUUCUAAAAUUUUUAGUAAGGGUGAUAUAAUUUAGUAGUGAAUUCUAGAAUAGUGUUACAAUAUUACAUAGAAUAAAAAGAUUCCUUUGAAACUUUUUUACAGAUUCUUUGAGAGAAAAAGAUUUUUCCUCUAUCUGAAACUUUCAUGUUUUAGUGGCCUACUAGUCGUACAAAACUGGGGUUUCUGGCUUGUUUUUCUUUCUAAAAAAGGCAAAUAUUAAUGACCAUGCUGGGUGAGCUAUAUCACAUUUUUCACAUAGGACUUACAAAUUUUAGAUAUAACUCUAUAAAAAAAUCAGCCUAAUUUUAGGCAACUAAAUUAGAAUUAUAUGCUCUUGGUUCUGAGGUAUUUAAACAAUGUGAAAUAUACCUCAAACUGAAAAUUUUAUGGCGUUCUCUUGUAGGUUACAUGCAGGUAAGCAAAGUUUUCUGGUGUAUAGUGGAAAGGGUGAAGAAACUCUUGCGUUUACCAGAGAAAUCAGAGAAAAGAAGAUUAGGGGUCAUGAAGUAAAAGGUGAGAAGUUCUUAGUGAAAAGAGAAUUCUGCAAUUAAAGAUGUUUUGUUAUGGGUUUCCCCCUUAUUCUCACACGUUUGGCUUUUUUUAGUAAUUAUUUUGUUGCUGGAAAUACUGAUUCAUUGUAGUUUUUUCCCACAAACAUUUGAACUUUACAGAAUAUAUUCCAAUUCAAGGUGAGGCACCUGAAGCCUCAAGGAUUUUUAUUCACUCCUCACUUGGGGCAGGGUAGAAAGUGGCAAAGUUUCACUACCACACUGCACUUGCCUUUGUGGAAAAAUCUCUGCAGCGGCGCUGAGUCUGUCUUGGCAGUGAAGACAAAGGUGUGCUCCCCCUUCCAGAGGCUUCAGGCUAAGGAUGAGGAAAGAAAGCAGAUUUCUGUUGUGAGUUUUAGAAAUAGAAAGGUCGGGAUGUUACUCUGGGCAUCCUGCAGCUCUUCCAAGCAGUUAGGUGAGUGAGGUGCUGCACAUGCUGGUCCCUCGGUGAGGCGAGAAGCUUGUGACGGUGUCACGCCGUGGGGACACGAUCACCUGGGCCACGUCGGCAGCGCCUCCUCAGAGCUCACACACAUCCCCAUCCCACGAGGAGCGCCAGACAGCCCUUGUUCACACGGCUCUUCGCUCAUCUUCCCCCCGAGCAUCCCUCAUUUUGGUAAUUUUGGAGCUCCCACACGUUUGACGGACAACCUGGAGCAGUUGGAAUGCGGCGCUGUUGCGGCAUUGCGGCCUCAAGAGGGAGGCAGCGGGCUAUGUGACACGGCAAAGCUGCUGAUCCUGUCAAGUUCGGGAUUCCGUGGGAAAAGAAAGGUUUAAGCACGACCAGAGGGAAGCAGAAUUUAGGCACAGCCGGUGUAGAUUAUGAUGGAGUAGUAGCUAGGAAGCUGUUGCUACACUGGUGUAUUUCAGUACACAACAAACACUGCAGCUGUUGUCCUAAGGUUCUGAAUGAUCCCAGGCAAAGCAGACGUGGGUUUUGACCUUGAAUGUCCUCUGUAAUUUGUCUUCAAUUCUUUUCAGCACUGUUUGCCAUUGUAAAUAACCACUGAUCUCAGCACGGCCUGAUAAGCUUUGGGACAUCCACUUUACAGCACCCUUAGAGGGUAAUACUUCAUUUGGUUUCUUGGCAACUUCCUGACUGUUCAGGAUUAUGAAAAAUACAGUAUUUAGCUGUAAUUCUUUCUCUGGGGCUAUUCUUUCCAUUGGCUUUGUAAUCACACCGAUUGACUCUUGAUAAUGUUCUUGUCAAUACUGUGUCCCUGGCUAAUAGGGGAGAGCUGAGGAUAUGAACAUUAUUUCAGGAAACAUGACACAUAUCCGUUGCAAUCGAUACAUGUAAUUUGCUCUAUCAAGUGCCUCAUGAGACAGGUUGAUAUUACAGCCAGUGAAUGUAAUAAGUAGUAAUAAGUGCUAUUUUGACAUGAACUUCUUCCAAACGUGAGUGUUUUGGCACAGAGGGCUGCAGCAGGUUUCCACACAGACAUGAUCUAGCAGAGGAUCCUGUGACCAGAUAUCUGAGAUUUCAAGUGCCUCCAGAGAGUUAUUUUACACUGGUAGUUAAUCAUACAGAGACUUGGCAGGCUGGGUGUUAGAUCAGAGCUGAGGAUCUGGGUGACUGAGGAAGUUUAUCCUGCCAUAACUUUAUAGCUGGAUGUUACAAAUUAGAAGCUGCUAAAUGCUGAAGAACAGCAUCAUUAUCUGCAGCUAUUUGGUAACGCCUGAUGGCUCUUGGAAUGUUCUGGUUGUUUGAUUCCUGCAUAAGGAAGAAAAUGCAGGCACUGUAAAAUUGUAAUUAAUAGCAGGAGUGAAAUGAGAAGAGGAGGAGUGAGAGAACAGGCCUCAGUAAGUUUCUGUAAACCUUUUGUCUUGAAUAUUGUUGUGUGAUGAAGUAAAUACUCUUUUAUUCCCUUCAUUUGAUCUGAUUCCAGGUAAAAUAUGAUUCCCCCCACCAACCCUCACUGAUAAGAUUUCUGAUAGUGCUUGAGACGGUCUGAUAUUGUACCAGGUUUUUACCCAGGAAUUUAAGGCAUUCUAAUCUAAUCUAAUCUAAUUCAAUCUUUCUUAUUCUGACAGUUUUCUCCACCCUUUGUCAUCACAAUCAUUUUAUUGGGCAAAUAAUCCAACCUAGUUCCAUAAUCUUUGUAGUUCCAUAACUUUUCCAAAUAAGGCCUACUAUAACACUUGCUCAGUUGUCUGGUGCACUUAAAAAUAAAAAAAAAACAUUUUUAUGUCACCCCUUGUCUCCAUA